UAAGGUUUGUGUAUACACCCUUCUAGAGGAAAUCUCGUUUACUUAUGUCCUCACAUGUGUCUUUCAAAAUUACAAGUUUUGGCAAAUAGUUUAAGUUCCCUUAUUUGUAAUACAUUCCCAAUGGACUUUUCCAGUUACCAAUACUCCCUAACCGACUACCCUUUUUCUGGAUUAGAUUUGACGACUUCCAUUUUUAUAAGUUAGUCUUUUGUAGACUUCUUAGCAUUAAA
rnacentral:lncRNA from 1 species